rnacentral:lncRNA from 1 species
CAAUGCCCUAGGUCGUGACCUGGCCCAGGCUCAUGCUCGACUCUCUGAUAUGACAGGAGAACUAAGUGAACAGCAGAAGUUAGAGUUGGAAAGACAUAAAGCUUUGGUGGUAGACCAGAAGAUUCAAUUGAGCAUGCUCACACAGAAGCUAACCAUGAUGUCACAACUAGUGCAACAGAAAGAUGACGAGACAAAGAAACUGGGAGAAAAACUGAGGUAUGACCAAAAAUGAGACAGUACAAUGGCUUCACAAAAAUUCAGACAUGAACUUUGAAUUAUAUAACAAGAAAAUCCUUUUGUUAGACAAACUGAAGAGGACCUGAAAAGUAAAGCAGCAGCAAACAGAGAGAUGGAGAACACAAGCCUUGUUCCACAUCAAACCUCAAGAAACACUAAAGAUGUGGCACUCAUGACAGCUCCAAAUGAUGUCAUCAAUCAGGGGUCAAAACACAAAGGUCAUCGCCGCGAGGAAGCGAUUUUUCAACAGCAGGAAGGUUUGCGUGACAUGAGAGAGCGAAUCAGAGCUCUAGAACAGAAGUGGCCUAGCAAGCAUCUGUCCCAGCAGGGGGAGCCAGAGAAACAGGGUCAGAUGAAGACUCGGAGACUUCAGAGAUCUGCAGCUCGGAG